rnacentral:rRNA from 1 species
UACAGAGGUCCCAAGCGUUGUUCGGAUUCACUGGGCGUAAAGGGUGCGUAGGCGGUCGGGUAAGUCUGACGUGAAAUCUCCAAGCUCAACUUGGAAAUGGCGUCGGAUACUAUUCGGCUGGAGGAAUGGAGGGGAGACUGGAAUUCUCGGUGUAGCAGUGAAAUGCGUAGAUAUCGAGAGGAACACCAGUGGCGAAGGCGAGUCUCUGGACAACUCCUGACACUGAGGCACGAAAGCUAGGGGAGCAAACAGG